rnacentral:rRNA from 1 species
UACAGAGGUCCCAAGCGUUGUUCGGAUUCACUGGGCGUAAAGGGUGCGUAGGCGGUCGGGUAAGUCUGAUGUGAAAUCUCACAGCUUAACUGUGAAACUGCAUUGGAUACUACCCGGCUCGAGGAAUGGAGGGGAGACUGGAAUACUUGGUGUAGCAGUGAAAUGCGUAGAUAUCAAGUGGAACACCAGUGGCGAAGGCGAGUCUCUGGACAUUUCCUGACGCUGAGAAGCGAAAGCAUGGGGAGCGAACAGG